rnacentral:pre_miRNA from 1 species
AAAACAAUCACCUAGGAAUUUUUUUAAAAUGCAGAUUCUGAUUAAGGCCUGGGGUGGGGCCUGAGAUCCUGCAUUUCUAACAAGCUUGCAGGUGAUGUGCAU